rnacentral:rRNA from 1 species
GACGAACGCUGGCGGCGUGCUUAACACAUGCAAGUCGAACGGAAAGUCCCUGCUUUUGUGGGGUGCUCGAGUGGCGAACGGGUGUGUAACACGUGAGUAACCUGCCCUUGACUUUGGGAUAACUUCAGGAAACUGGGGCUAAUACCGGAUAGGAGCUCCUGCUGCAUGGUGGUGGUUGGAAAGUUUCGGCGGUUGGGGAUGGACUCGCGGCGUAUCAGCUUGUUGGUAGGGUAGUGGCUUACCAAGGCUAUGAGGGGUAGCCGAACUGAGAGGGUGAUCGGCCACAUUGGGACUGAGACACGGCCCAAACUCCUACGGGAGGAAGCAGUAGGGAAUCUUCGACAGUGGGCGAAAGCCUGGUGGAGCAACGCCGCGUGGGUGAAGAAGGUCUUCGGAUCGUAAAACCCGGUUGUUAGGGAAGAAAGGGCGUGAGAGUAACUGUUCACGUUUCGACGGUAUCUAACCAGAAAGCCACGGCUAACUACGUG